rnacentral:sRNA from 12 species
GGCGCGUGCUUAAUGAGUACACGCUUUGUAAAAGAAAAUGUAGUUCAGCGGGAUGCUGGCUUAUACUAGUUGACAUUUUCUUUAAUACAAUCUCCAGUAUGAGGAAAAACUACUGUUUGGGCCGCGUGAAAUGCGUCGGGUCCAUC